GGUAAAGUCUGCCUGAGUCACUUCCGGGUUUGAGGGGUUACAGCCAGAUCUCGUUAGGUUCUGGCGUUUUUUAGAGGACCCUGUGUUUUAGGCUUUAACUUCUCUGCCAGUUUACUGCUUUGUAAUCAAGGCAGAGCAGUUAGCCUAUAGCAGAGUGGUCCCUAUAAUUUCUCUAGCCACAGAGAUCACUCCCGCCCCUGGUCUGCUCAGGACGCUAGCCUUUUGCUGCCUGUGCUAGUCUGUUCCUGGCCCCUCAGGACAAACCUUUCCUGGCGAGCUUCCGGAUCGGCUGGUUUAGCAAUCCACCCAUGACACAAUUUGGCUGUUACAUGCUGACUUAGUGAUCCCAGAAUGGGGGUUAUGUACCUGCCUUCCUUUUGCCACAGGAUUACUAUGAAAAUCAGAUGAGAAGAUGAAGUUUGAGUCUCUUGUAAAAACAGGAACAAAGAAAAAAGGAAGAAAGAGAGAAAUGAAGGAAGAAAAGAAGAAAGGGAAGGAAGGAAAGAGGAAGGAAGAAGGAAAGAAGAAGACAAGGAAGGAGGAAGAAUGAAAAAAGGAAAAAAGAGAGGAAAGGAAGGAAAAGAGGGAAGAAAAAAGAAAGAAGGAAAAAAGGAAGGGAGGGAAAAAGAAGCAGAAAUUAACAAAUAGGAAAAAAGGGAGGGAAGAAGGAAGGAAGAAGGAAAGGUGGGAAUAAAGAAGGGAAGAAAGGAGGACAAAAAGGGGAAAGAAGGAAUGAUAAAGAUAAAAGGAAAGAAAGAAGAGGAAGAGACAGAGUAUAAUUUUUUUUUUCAUGCAUUAGACAUCUAUAUUUCCUUCUGUUCUAAUAGCAAACAUGCCUAUUGUUUUGUUCAAAGCUGACAUCAUUUUAAAAAGUUGGAUUGGAUAUUCUCUAAUAACACUGAACAGUUUCUUCUCAUCUUUAAAUGUUCUUUAAAUUUGUUGCUGACUUUGAACUUUGAUCUAAUCAGAUAAUGAUCUGAAUACACAUAUGAGUCUGAAAUGAAUGCUCCAUCUAUAAUUAGCAAUUUCUUAACAAUUGGUAUCAAUACUUUCAUUAUUAUCCUGUCAUGGAGUGCUUGACCACAUCCAAUAAUUUCUGACUUUUUUCUUGAAAAAAAAAAAGAUCACUUUUCAAGUCAUUUGCAAGACCUUGGAUUUUUUCCAUUUCUUUAUCUUGAAGAAUAUUUUUCAGCAGUUUUCUGUCUUCUCUCCAUACUAUAAUCAUAUUAAAGCCAUCAAGUAUCAAGGUAUACCUUGACUUUGUUUUGAUAGAUUUUGCCAAGUUCUUUUUCAGAAUUUCUUAGCUUUAUCCCCUGCAGUGUAUGUUGACACAUGAGCAUGUACUCUAUUUGCUUAAGCUCAUCAUGACCCAUAUAAGGUCAGCUGAGUAAGGAUGAAGUGUCCCCAUAUGAAAUGAUACUUCUUGUUGCCUCUAGGCACACAAUGAAACCAACUGUGCCAGCUUUUUUGCCAUUCUGAGGAGGACUUACAGGUCAUCCUUCCAUUAUUCUGCAACUUUCUUAUGUCUUUGUUUUUAUUUAUAGCAAAUGGAGAUGUGCUUUAUUUAGUAGUGCAUCAACUUUUCUAUUAUACAAAAACUACAUGUAAGUGUAAAUUAAAUUACUAUUUGUGGAUGUUCUAAGAAUUGUAUGAUUUUUUUUUUAGUACCUUCUGCUCCUUUUGCUACCUCUUUUCCUACACAUCAUUUUCAGAACUGGGGCUAUCAGAUCAUGGAAGCAGAGAAGACUAUAGCAAAGGUUGACAUCCAAUUUGUAUUUCCAUCUAUUUCACUGACUUUCCCCCAACCUGGUGACUAACUUUAUCAAGCUGAGCCACUCUCUAAACUUUGGAUUUUUAUAACAAUUUGGUUUCUUUUUCAUUCACUUCAUUCUUUUUCCUCCUUCCUCUGCUCCUUGCAAUUAGGGACAUUUGGGGCUGCAAAGUCAUGCAAGGCAAUCAACUGGAAGCUACAAUGGUAUAUUUAAAAUUUUAAUAUAAAUAGAUUGUAUAGUCUAACUGUCUCUAAGAUCAUCCUUUCCCUCUUCCCAUUCCCAACUGCUUCUGCAGCUGGCAUAAAAUGAAAAAAAAAAAAAAUCUAAAGCAAACAAACAUUGAGCUUAGUAUUCUGGAGGCUUUGGUUCCAUAAUCAAUUCCAUCUCUAACUGGGUUGCCUUGAGUUUAGGCAAGUAAAUUAACCUCUAUGUCUCUCACUUUCCUGAAAUAUAAAAUGAGGAGAUUGGAUUAUGUUUACUCCUAAUUUUCUGACAAGAGACACAUGAUCUCAAACGUGUACUUGAUGCUUAUCCAACUAGAAUUUAAGCUUUGUUUGAAUAAUCUUGGAGAAUCUAAGCUCACUUACAAGUCACAAAGAAAUUGAGAGUAGAAUUUAUGGAGAGAAUGAGGACAACUAUGUCAUAGUUGUCUUAAGAAGUACUUUUGUUGCCAUCUACACCCAGAGAGAGAACUAUGGGAUCAGAGUGUGGAAGACAACAUAGCAUUCUCACUCUCCAUGUUGUUAUUUGCUUCCAUUUUGUUUUUGUUCUCAGUUUUUCUUUUCCUUCCUUCUUGAUCAAGAUAGCUGUGCAGCAAGAUGAUUGUAUAAAUAUGUAAACAUAUAUUGGAUUUAACAUGUAUUUCAACAUAUGUAACAUGUAUUGGACUACAUGUAUUGGGAGGAAGUGGAGGGAAGAUGGGGGAAAUUUGGAACAAAAGGUGUUGCAAGGGUCAAUGCUGGAAAAAUUAUCAAUGAAUAUGCUUUGCAAAUAAUUAAAUAAAUAAAUGAUUUUUAAAAAA